ensembl:lncRNA
GGAGCAGGUGCCCAGCAGCAGGUGCCCGGCAGCAGCCCGCACCGCCCACCGCACCGCACCGCACCGCACCGCGCCGCGCAGGAGCGGAGGGGCUCGAGCGAGAGGCGCGGUCCCGGCCGUAAGCAAGAAACUUUCCUCGCUCACAGAGCCCUCUUGGAGCAGCACGGCGCCCCGCUGCCAGGGAGCUCCUGGCGCCGGUCCGGCCCCGCCGCCCUUCUGGUUGCGGAGAGGCGCUCCCGGCCCGACGGACCCCGCGCCGCGUCCGUGCCGGAGGUGCCGCCAAAUCCGGACCGGAGCAGAAGGGAUUCACUGUGAACUAUGAGCGCUGCGACAAAACUUUUCUAAGUGACAGAAGCGUGCAUAAGUAAACUUGUAUGCAGAAAUUAAAAUCAACUGGAGUUGGUAGCAUCCUCUCUGGAAGUUAAAUAUCGUUCAAAGCUGGGGCGGCACGGGGGUCGGGUUGCGCGUAGCCGAUGGCCUCGGACCGUGCGGGAGUCGGGUACCGCUGCGGGACGGGCAGCAGCACCGAGGCGGCCGGGGGCAGCGCGACUGCGGCAAGGAGACGGGGGAAGGAAGACGGGCGGAGCGGCAUCGGAGAUAGCAGAAAGAAAAACUCCGCUGAGAAGUGUGAAAAGAAAAGGAGGGGGAGGAGCCGCCCACAUGCUGCCAGGAGCCGUCCCGCUGGCAGCUUCUCCUCUCUGCUGUAUCGCUGCCGAACUGGGCGCCAAGACAGGACAUAUGCAAAAUCAUUUCACUGUGGCACAAACACAAGAAACAUGAUUUGGAAGAAAGGACAGGGGCCAGAGUGUCUGUCUCUUAUUCUCCACUCGCAUUGCUGCAAACUGGAAAUGUUCAUCUUUGUGAAAGAAAAAGGCAGACCUGAUUUUUAAGAAGGAAGUAAGACCACUGGAAACAAGAGUUCUGGAAGACAACUGAUGACAUAUGGCCUGAUGGGUACCCCGAUCAUUAAUUUGCAAAGAAUGCAAUACCUCAUUUUGCAACACCUUUAAGAAGAAAAGGCAUACAUAUGAUAGGAAACCCGAGUGCAAUGAGCAAGCCCAUGGGAUGAUAUGAAAUUAUUACUGAUAUGUUUUCUAAAGCUGAAAAAGAUCAUUUUGACUAUUUAUUCUGAAAUCUUAGAUAAAGAGGGAAUGUACACAUUCAUUCAGUAAUGUUUCUACUGACUUCUCUGGAUUUGAGAUGUGGUAGAUCACAUAGUCAAGAAAAUUACAGUGUUUAAAUCAAGACUUCAAGUGACAGAGAACCUACUGGGGCAAGAUCUUCCAAUGGUUAAUUACACUACAUUCAUUAUGGUACAUAGGGCAAAACCAUUCUGCACAGGAGACAUAUUAAAGUCACUAGAGGACAACAACCUAAUCUGCUGCCUCCAAUCUACUUUGUGAAAGAAAUUCAGGCUAAGACAAGACAUACACAUUCUUCUCAAAGCAGGAAGUGUCAUACUAUGUUCUACAAGUGGAAUCUCCUCUCAUCUCCUUAAUUAUAGCCAACAUAACAUGCAUUUUUGUUUAAAAUGUGUGUCCAGUGCUGUGUAACCCAACAGGAAGUCUCAAGUUUGAAAAAAACAUGGAGUUCAUCAUUUCAGAUUGGAACAGGCAAGGGAGAAUGAACAUUUUCCAUCUAAAAGUAAAGAACAGCACACAAAAUAAUAAACUAAUAGCCUAAUGCAAUGCAAGCACUUAGGAGCUGAAAGUCAGCAGCUUUUUGGUAACACAAAGUGUCUAGGACAAGAAGAGAUUAAUAUUUAAUCCCAACUGAGUUUCAUAGGGAAUUUUGAUAAGAAUGUAAUUUCCCAAGCUGAUUUACAAGCCAGGCCUGUGAGGAGGAGUAACACCCCCUCUUGUAUGUGAAGCAGCCUCAAAUCUAUGAUUAUCACACAUGUUCAAGAAUUCAGUUUUACAUAUCACCCUAAGUCAGCACUCCAGCUAUACACUGGAUCAUGACACUAUCCUUGGCAUUGUUUAUAAACACAGCACCGUUUAAUUUCAACUUGAGCCUCACCUAACUGUUUUGCACAGAUCUUUUAUCCUAAAGUAUAUCCCAGAUAACUAUGUUCAUUUAGUAAAAUCUGACAAGAUUACAUGACAAUACCACAUAGGAUAUACUAGAGAUUAAGUGAAUUCAAGUGGCUGGGUAAAAUAACUUUAAUUCAGAGUUUUUAUCUUCAGUUUUUAUACGCACUAGAUAUUCAAUAUACAUUAACAGUGAAACUCAGUAAUGCAAUUGCAUUAUGUUCAUAUUAUACAUAUCCCAGUGUUGAAAUUUGGAGACAACAAGAUAUUUUCUGUAAGGUAUUUUCAUCUGAAAAACAGAUAAAUAAAGUUGAAACAUGAAUGCAUUUAUAGAACAAUUAAGUUAAUCUCUCAUAUAAUGGUUUUACCUCUUCUAAAGCAUAUUUUUAAUGAAAAUCAACCUUUUUUCUAAAGGCAAAGGUUAAUUAAAUAUGUUGUAUGAAAACAUAUUUUUGCUUAAUUUCCCAGCAUGAUACAUCUUCAUGGAACAGAGAAUCAAAAACUUUAAAUACUGUACGAUUACAAACAUUUAACCUCACCUUACUGCACAUUCUGUACAGAAACCUUUUUCCAUGGUAAAAACAUUCACAGUGAUGUAUGUUUAUCCAUGAAGCUAUACAACACAUACUCUUAAAUUACCCUAAGAGUAAUUUAGACAAAUUCAUUCUAAAAAGCUUUUAAUGCGCAUUAUAGAAUAUUCAUCCCAACGCUAUCAUCACUGUAGUCACUCAGUACAAAGCACUGUACUGGCACCAAAUCACUACAUUGGAUUGAUAUCCCUCAAAUAAUUUUCAAGAGGAAAACCCUGCAAAGAUUGUGUAACAGCAAUCUUCAGCCUGCUCAUCUGUCAGAUAACCCACAGCUCUUUGAAGCUUCUUAUCCUCCUCUCACUACUAAUGCUUCAAAAUCCUUGACGUUCCUUGACGUUCUCAUGUUAUCACCACACUGGGGCAAAUCACCAUAACCCCAAACAAACUCCACACAAACCAGCCUUCAGUGGCUCAGCACCAGUCAGGAUACCAAGCAGAAGGCUCAUUGCACUUGGGAGAUGGUAACUUGCUGUGUGAUUGUGGCUCCAUGGGAAAUAAUUCAUAAUGUCAUGUGACCUGCCAAAUAUACCUAUGCUGAAUUGCAUAUAUGCAACCCACCGUAGAGCACAUAUAUAGAUGUUUUAUGUUGGGGUAACUACACUGCUACGUUGAUACCACUGCUACAGCCUCUCACACUGAGUAAUAGUCUGUACUUCAGAAACAAACAAGCAAGACCAUGUGAACAACCCACAUGGAGCAUGCUAUCUGCUACAUUUCAACACCCACCCAAGAUAUCAUACAAGAUACCUGUAAAAGAAUAUUUUAUUUAUCUAUUCAGUUUUGCACAGAAGUCUAAAUUUAAACAUGCUAAUUUCCUGGUUGACAAAGUUGUCAGAAGAGUGCUGGCUUCAUAAAACAGGCCAUGAGAUUAUUUGGAAUUUCUUGCAUGUGAGAAUGGUGUGUUCAGGGUGUGAAGCACACUGAAGCACCAGUGCACUGGAAUAAGUGCUAUGCCACUAUGGCAUAGACUGACUAUGCUUUGAGUUGGGCAUGCAAAUAACACUGUGAGCACGAAGGACACACCUGACAGUCAGCUAAAGAAACCUGCCUGAUUUUAAGAAACCUGUCCUCUGGCUUCAGUGGUCCCAGAUGUUUCAAACUCCUUCGGGUGCAGUGCAAAAAUCUAGGUAAAAAUUACAGAGCUUUGCAGUGGGUAAGUUCCAGGUUCUCACAUGAAGAAGACCUAUCUUUGUGAGAAAUAUGCGGAAGUUGCAAACUUGCCUUGUGCACUGGAGAAAUUUAACAGAAAUAAAAUCUUAGCAACUCAUAAUGAUGUAGUCUGUAAUACUUCAUAUCAACCUAGACACAAUAUAUUCCUAGACGUCUCAUAAAUUAACAGUGAAUGCUGUAAAAUACCUAAUUUUGCAAAGCUGCUGAGCACAGAAUAUCUGCAUAAAAUAAAAGUGAUGCAUCAAGAUCUAGUUCAAAAAGCAUUUUCCUCUCUCUUCGGUAAGUUCAGUUUCUUGCACCAGAAAAUAAUUUUUACCUAUCAUUCUCUCCUUACUUAUCCAGCUACGGAAUGAAAGAAGACAUAGCACAGAUAUGAAAUUUAGAAGUUCUGUAGAACUAUAAUGUAAAGAAAAUCUGAUUUCAGUAUUCAUCUAAGAAAAUUUUAUAUAUUUUAUAUAUUUCUUAAAAGUAUAAGUUAAUCAUCUACCUUCCAUAUAAAUGCGUUGCAGUUGCCUAUUUAGUGAACUGAAAGGAAAGUUAAAAAAAAAAAAAAAAACCCAACACCAAAAACCCUCAAAAAGCCACAUCUAGAUUGGGAUAGUGAUUACAAUCUACUGUCUCAGAAUGAAAAGCAUUACAACUAUGGCUAUUAUCCUGUUAACAACAUAAAGGUAUCACAUAAUUUUGAAUUAAAUAUCUGUAUUGAAGAGAAAGCCAAAGCAAACAGAGCACAUAAUUUUAAUGUGCUUACUUGAGCCUGUAUAAUUUUUACUACAAAACAGACAUCUCCAAAGUAAAAAAAAAAAAAAAAGAAAAGAAAAAGAAAAUCAAAAUCCCCACGCCUCAGAUCCAGCCAUCACACAUAAAUUCAAAGACUGAAAAAACAUUCAUUUGAAUGGCUGCUUUACAAGUGGCCAGUAAGGCACUUUGUGAAAAUUACUGGUUUUCAAAUGAUAUUUAAGUCUUACUUCGAGAGGAAAAACUCUUUCAAAGAAUAAUAGUGUGUUUUUUUUUUUAUUCUAGCUUCAAUGGUCAGAUUUCCAUAAUAUGAACUGCUUGAUAGUCACUUUCCCUUUAAAUUAUUUUUUAACCAUACAGGCAGUCACAUCUGAUUUCUGAUUCUCCUUACCUUACUUUUCCUUUCAAUUACUUCAGUUCUUAAUACGAACAAUAAGAGUGCUCAUUGCAUGUCCUCUGUGGGACUCCUGGAACUUAGAUACUCAAUAGACAGGUGCAUAGAUAAGGAUUCAAAGUCUUUGUUCCACUGUCCAGACAGAAUAUGUUUAAUCUUUUUUCUACCUUUUCUAUGCCAUUUAAACUUUAACCUAGUAGUAACUUUUACUGCCUUGAUUCACAAUUCAAAGGUAUGAAGAUGAAAAGUCCUUGCCUUGGAACGUAGCUUGAAAACUUCAUUCUUAGUCUGUAUUUCUUUUGAACUUCUUCUUGUGUUUUUUUGUCUUCAUUUUUUCCAGGGUGCCAACUUUACCGCAUAGGACUUUCCAAACCUAACAGCAGGGCUACCCAGAAGGAAGAAAAGUAGAGCAAAUUUGACAAGAACCAUCUCACUUAAGGGAAAAUAUUUAAAUUACUGACCAGGCUUGAUUACGAGGGUAACAGGUUCAAUUUUGCCCCAUCUUUUUAAAUAUGCCACUAGUGACAGACCCUUGCAUAUGACUGCAAACGCAUGUAAGAGACAAAGACCUAAUACAAUGGAACCACACAGUGUACAACACAUCACGAUUAAUUGUGCAGAAAUAAUAACAUAGCAGCAAGUAUAAUAUCAAAUUAAUGCAUCUGGAUACUUAAAAUAAAUCUCUCUUUGCAAUAGCCGAGGUAGCUCUACGAGAAUAUUUGGUUCCCGUGCAGAUAAAUAUACAAAUUUCUGGAAAAAUCUGCAUCUUCAAGAUACAGAGGAGAAAAAAAAAAAAAAAGAAGAAGAAAAAGAAUCUUCCAGGGGCACAAGAACUGGUUCUGCUGUGUGUCAGCCAGCUUCACACCCUAGUGCAACAAGCUGCUGUAUGAGGAACCAAAGGCAUGGGUGCUGGUCCUGGUACCCUACUCCAAACUGACUAGCCUCUAACAGAAGGGCCAGACACCAACCAGCUAGUUCUGCGAGAGCUCCAACAUGAGGCCCCAUCACAGUAUUUCAAAGUUUGUAUAAGAGCUAUCCUAUGAAAUAAAAGGCUUCUUUGAUUCUUAAAAUGUAUUGCCUUUCACCUCUUUCUUGGCUUAAGGGAAAAAAAAAGUGAGAAAUUACAUAUGAUGCCCCUUUUCUGAACUGCUUUUCAAAGCUACUAACUGGAAGAUCUCCCUUUUGUAGCUGCUUUAAGACCUUCUAACAAGACUGUCAGUCAGCACUGAAAAGCAGCAUUGCCUUCCCACUGCUAAG